CCUACGGGAGGCAGCAGUGAGGAAUAUUGGUCAAUGGACGAGAGUCUGAACCAGCCAAGUAGCGUGAAGGAUGACUGCCCUAUGGGUUGUAAACUUCUUUUAUAUGGGAAUAAAAUGUUCCACGUGUGGGAUUUUGUAUGUACCAUAUGAAUAAGGAUCGGCUAACUCCGUGCCAGCAGCCGCGGUAAUACGGAGGAUCCGAGCGUUAUCCGGAUUUAUUGGGUUUAAAGGGCGCGUAGGUGGAUUGUUAAGUCAGUUGUGAAAGUUUGCGGCUUAACCGUAAAAUUGCAGUUGAAACUGGCAGUCUAGAGUACAGUAGAGGUGGGCGGAAUUCGUGGUGUAGCGGUGAAAUGCUUAGAUAUCACGAAGAACUCCGAUUGCGAAGGCAGCUCACUGGACUGCAACUGACACUGAGGCUCGAAAGUGUGGGUAUCAAACAGGAUUAGAUACCCGAGUAGUC
rnacentral:rRNA from 1 species